rnacentral:rRNA from 1 species
UACGUAGGGCGCAAGCGUUAUCCGGAAUUAUUGGGCGUAAAGAGCUCGUAGGCGGUUUGUCGCGUCUGCUGUGAAAACUCGGGGCUUAACUCCGGGCCUGCAGUGGGUACGGGCAGACUAGAGUGCGGUAGGGGAGACUGGAAUUCCUGGUGUAGCGGUGAAAUGCGCAGAUAUCAGGAGGAACACCCGUGGCGAAGGCGGCUCUCUGGGACGGUACUGACGCUGAGACGCGAAAGCGUGGGGAGCAAACAGG